UACUACAAUCUACUAUCAUGCACCUAUCACCAUCAUCUCAAUCCUAUAUCUCUCCAUCCAAUGACUAAAAACUCAAAAGCACCAUUCCUUUGAUGCCUUUGAGAUCUCUCUCUCUCUCUCUCUCUCUAUAUAUAUAUAUAUAGUCCGGCCGUUAUACUAUCGAUAGUACCAAGCAUUUAGUGCUAUCAAGUUUUCUGUCGAUAAAUUAACCCUUUUGAUUAUUUUUAUUCGUUAGAUUAUACUAUUCAACCAACCACCCACUCAAUCUUAGAGGUCCACAUCAUCCUAAUCACACAUUUCUCAAUCCAAGGGCUAAAAAACCAAUAGGACCAAUAACUUGGUGCUAUUGAUAGUAUUCCAACAUAUAUAUAUAGUUGAGCUAGAAUACUUUUAGAAACACCAACUUCUUGGUGCUUCUAAGUUUCUAGCCCUUGGAUCUACUCCUUGAUUACUAAUAGCUUUUGGAUCAAAUACUAUUCCACAUAUCACCACCUACCACUAUCAUCUCAACCUCACAUCUCUCCAUCCAAUGGCUAAAAACUCAAAAGCACCACCUUCAUGGUGCUUUUGAGAGUAUUCUAGCUCAACUAUAUAUAUAUGUAUAUAUAUAUAUAUAUAUAUGUUGAAAUACUAUUAAUAAUAAAAGAUUCUUUUUGGUAUUAAGUUUUUAAUCAUUCGAUGAAAAAUUAUAGGAUUAGAAUGAUAUUAGUUCCUUAGGGUUAAGUGGUUCUACUAAAGUUGAGUGGUCCUCACUAGUUAUAAUAUUUAAUCCAAUGGUUAGAAAUGAUAAAAGGCUUUGAUCUAAAUUUAGAUACUAAUAUCUCUUACUUGGAUAUAUAUGCAUAAACUUUAUUACGACUUGAGCCGGUAGAAAAAAUUUUGUCUGUUCGGAAGAUCUAUUUUGGGUCCGAACUAUCCCAAUUGGAGAUUAUUUUUUUCUCUCUCAUCUCCUAUUUUCUAAUAUGUAGAAGUUACAAAUUUAUUACUAUUCUUGCUCGCAUAUUUUAGCAGCAUUUUUCAAUAUGUAGAAGUUAAAAAUUUAUCAUUAUUCUUAUUCGCAUAUUUUAGCAGCAUAUUCUACACAUGUAUAUUCUACAAGUGCAAUAGACUAUCAAUCUUUUAUUGAUAAAUAUUAUUCUAUUGAGCAAC
rnacentral:lncRNA from 1 species